rnacentral:rRNA from 1 species
AGCGAACGCUGGCGGCAAGCCUAACACAUGCAAGUCGAACGAUAUAGUGGCAGACGGGUGAGUAACGCGUGGGAACGUACCUUUCACUACGGAAUAGCUCCGAGAAAUUGGUGGUAAUACCGUAUACGCCCUCAGGGGGAAAGAUUUAUCGGUGAAAGAUCGGCCCGCGUUGGAUUAGCUAGUUGGUGAGGUAAUGGCUCACAAAGGCGACGAUCCAUAGCUGGUCUGAGAGGAUGAUCAGCCACACUGGGACUGAGACACGGCCCAGACGCCUACGGGAGGCAGCAGUGGGGAAUCUUGCACAAUGGGCGAAAGCCUGAUGCAGCCAUGCCGCGUGAAUGAUGAAGGCCUUAGGGUUGUAAAAUUCUUUCGUCAGGGAUGAUAAUGACCGUACCUGAAGAAGAAGCCCCGGCUAACUUCGUGCCAGCAGCCGCCGUAAAAC